CUACGGGUGGCACCAGUGAGGAAUAUUGCACAAUGGGGGGAACCCUGAUGCAGCAACGCCGCGUGGAGGAUGACGCAUUUCGGUGUGUAAACUCCUUUUAUAUGUCAAGAAAAUGACGGUAGCAUAUGAAUAAGCACCGGCUAACUCCGUGCCAGCAGCCGCGGUAAUACGGAGGGUGCAAGCGUUACUCGGAAUCACUGGGCGUAGAGGACGCGUAGGCGGGUUGGAAAGUCAGGUGUGAAAUCCUACAGCUUAACUGUAGAACUGCACUUGAAACUUCUAAUCUAGAGUAUGGGAGGGGGAGAUGGAAUUAGUGGUGUAGUGGUAAAAUCCGUAGAUAUCACUAGGAAUACCUAAAGCGAAGGCGAUCUCCUGGAACAUUACUGACGCUAAGGCGUGAAAGCGUGGGGAGCAAACAGGAUUAGAUACCCGUGUAGUC
rnacentral:rRNA from 1 species